rnacentral:rRNA from 1 species
UACGUAGGGGGCAAGCGUUGUCCGGAGUUACUGGGCGUAAAGCGCACGCAGGCGGUCUCUUAAGUUUGGAGUGACAGUUGGUGGCUUAACUGCCAAAGUGCUUCGAAAACUGAGAGACUUGAGGGCUUCAGAGGGACACGGAAUUCCGGGUGGAGUGGUGAAAUGCGUAGAGAUCCGGAGGAACACCGAAGGCGAAGGCAGUGUCCUGGGGAGUACCUGACGCUCAGGUGCGAAAGCCAGGGGAGCGAACGGG